rnacentral:rRNA from 1 species
UACAGAGGUGGCAAGCGUUGUUCGGAAUUACUGGGCGUAAAGGGCGCGCAGGCGGCUCAUUUUGUCAGGCGUGAAAGCCCCGGGCUUAACCUGGGAACUGCGUUUGAUACGGAUGGGCUAGAGUUCGGGAGAGGAGAGUGGAAUUCCCAGUGUAGAGGUGAAAUUCGUAGAUAUUGGGAAGAACACCGGUGGCGAAGGCGGCUCUCUGGACCGAGACUGACGCUGAGGCGCGAAAGCGUGGGGAGCAAACAGGG